rnacentral:rRNA from 1 species
UAGGGAAUCUUCGGCAAUGGACGAAAGUCUGACCGAGCAACGCCGCGUGAGUGAAGAAGGUCUUCGGAUUGUAAAGCACUUUAAGUUGGGAGGAAGGGCAGUAAGUUAAUACCUUGCUGUUUUGACGUUACCGACAGAAUAAGCACCGGCUAACUCUGUGCCAG